AGAAAAGUAACUAAGGCAGAUAGGAUGGCAAUAUGGGUGCAUCUGAUUCUCCUUAGUGAAACUGAAGUGAGAGCUCACGUCCUCAGUGGUGAAGCACUCUCUUGUGUGGCCUUGGUUCUGGGUGAAUAUGCCUUGUUCAGAAAAACCUUCUUCCUAAUAAGUAUGUGAUAAAUCCAUAGGAACAGAGUGAGAACCCCAAGAUAGGAUCAUCAAAGAAGCCCCACAGGAACUAUACAGUACAGACUUGUAAAGAAGACACUAUCUGGUUCUCUACCACAUUGCCUUCAGCAUCUAGUAAAGGUAAUGUGGUACCUGGAAGCACAGGAAUUCUCAGUACAUAUAAGCCAUGAGUUAACCUCUAUAAAUACCAAACUUAGCUUUAACACAGAUAUAUUGAAUAUUUUC